rnacentral:rRNA from 1 species
UACGUAGGGUGCGAGCGUUAAUCGGAAUUACUGGGCGUAAAGCGUGCGCAGGCGGUUUUUGUAAGCCAGAUGUGAAAUCCCCGGGCUUAACCUGGGAAUGGCAUUUGGGACUGCAAGGCUGGAGUACGGCAGAGGAGACUGGAAUUCCUGGUGUAGCAGUGAAAUGCGUAGAGAUCAGGAGGAAUACCGAUGGCGAAGGCAGGUCUCUGGGCUGAUACUGACGCUCAUGCACGAAAGCGUGGGGAGCGAACAGG